UCGAGGGGGGCGCGAGCCAGAACCAUGCUCGCGCAAGCAGUCGUUCGAACGGCGCUGUCUCGUUCUGGCCGGCGCGCCGAGAACACAGCCGAGGCAGCGUGGCUUCUCCGAGUCAGGCAAAGCGGGCCCUGAUGACCUUCGCAACGCGCAGCAUCAAAGGUGUUGCCUGGCUUCCGUGGCGCCCGGGGGUGACAAGGUCUACCGAUGUGACGCCGUGACUGGGAUCAAGGUGGCCGUGUUGCGGUGUUGCAGGCUCCUGUCGUGGCUCAUCACAAACCUGACCACGCAGAUCAUCGAGCACUUUGACUGCAAAGAUCGAAGGGCCUCGUUCGUCGCAAUUGCAUCGAUGACAGUUCAGGAAAAACCAGGAAACUGUAGCCGGGCAGCACAUCAUUCUGGGCGCACCGGCGAGACAUCGGGAGGUGUUCUCCGCCUAGAGGAGCUGACUCAGCCACCGGCUUUUCCAUCGUCACGUUCGAGCAUGCACCGAAUGUCGACUCCGCUCCGGAUGACCGCGCAGAGAAGCCACCGAGUCCACCCAAGGCACAAGGGCGAGGCCAGCCGGUCGUCAUCCACGAAAGCCACAGUGGAGAGCGCAAAUGCUUAUGUGGCCGUGGGGCUCGCGGAGUCGACCGAGGGUUAGGCAGCGAGAGGCCGCCAAGAGGGGCCGCGAGCUAUGGACAAUUAACGCUCAUCAGCGCUUGAACGUCUUGGAGGUGACACGCCGAUACAUCCACCAUGCAUCCGGCGUGUCUCCAGGACGCUGUCGUCACCUUCCACCACGCGGCGAUCUAGAGUGUCGAUAGCGCGAACAAGUUGGGCUCGGUCCUUCCUACCUUUGCUGUGGUGGUGACAUAUUAAGGCAUGAUUUGUGGGUUCGUUGUCUAGCGAUUGUCGUUAGCGGCGCUAUCGAUUUGAUGCGUAUUUAGGCUUAUAUACAUUUUGUUUUAUAUUCGUUCUUCGUAGUUGCCACGUAUUAGUUUUUGUCGUUAAUAUUGCUUCUUUACAUUUAUGCGCAGUAAUUUAUUCGUUUAGAAGAGUUCUGGAAGGUUUGCUUGCUGUAGACUACUUUAGUUUCCGUUGGCGCCCUUCCAAACAACUAUCAGCGAAAGACACACACAUUCUUCAAAACAUCCCUCUGGUGCAGAUGGUUGCCAAUGAAAUGCAGUCUAUAUGUAUGAGAUUACCUUGUUUAGAAUAAUUAGACCCAUACUUUUUUUUUGGUGUGUUAUAUUUCUUAAUGUUUGCGUUAUCACAAUUUAUUCAUUUAAUUUCAGAGUGAUGAUUUGCUUUGAAGGAUCCUGAAACGUUUGAUUCCUAAGAACAACGUCUGUUUUAGUUGGUGACCUUCCGAACAAUCAUUAAAAGCUUGACGAUGUGUUACACAAGAGAAAGAAACCUUGGUGUAGAUUUAUCGGACGCCAAUCAAACGUGGUGACCUCAUGUUUGCGAAAUUAGUGCAGACUUUUGCGAACCGAACUACUUGUACGUUUUUGUUGUGACAGUCUCCUCUUCGACACAAGAGAGUCAAACUGCACUUAGCCGCACCGUACUUUCAGGUGGCACGAAACUUCACGCGGUGAUGAAAUCUGAAAACAUUUUGCUUCCAAUAAAAGCAGGGUAGUCAUAAACAAGGCAGCAGUGGUUUGGCGUAAAUUGACACGAGUACAUUAACUUGUUUCACACUUUUUGGCGAGUGCUUUUCAUGCACCAACAACUUAAGUCUUGGCGCAGCACAAGGAGCGCCUACUCGAAUGUUAUAUAGCCUGUUUAUAGAAUGGUAUCUUUUGCCUAUGUUGUCGUCGAAGCUCAUGUAAUGAGAUUGGAUGUGUUACGUAAAUGGUGUGGUAGUUUCUGGAACCUUUGACGAGUCAUUUAUAUACAGCCGAUCGACUGUAUCCGCAUAUUAAAUUUUUUUCAGUGAUCGACAAGUGUGCUCGACUCUAUCACUGUACUGAGGGUCACUUGUGAGCACAGGUUCGCCCAAUAAACAUUUAAAUUUCUAACUCA